rnacentral:tRNA from 1 species
AGGGGUUUAGGAUAACAAAAGACCAAGAGCCUUCAAAGCCCUAAGUAAGUAUAAAUACUUAACCCCUG